GACGAACGCUGGCGGCGUGCCUAAUACAUGCAAGUCGAGCGAAGUUUUUCUGGUGCUUGCACCGGAAAAACUUAGCGGCGAACGGGUGAGUAACACGUAAAGAACCUGCCUCAUAGACUGGGACAACUAUUGGAAACGAUAGCUAAUACCGGAUAAUAGCAUUAACUGCAUGGUUGAUGUUUAAAAGUUGGUUUUGCUAACACUAUGAGAUGGCUUUGCGGUGCAUUAGCUAGUUGGUGGGGUAAAGGCCUACCAAGGCGACGAUGCAUAGCCGACCUGAGAGGGUGAUCGGCCACACUGGGACUGAGACACGGCCCAGACUCCUACGGGAGGCAGCAGUAGGGAAUCUUCCGCAAUGGGCGAAGGCCUGACGGAGCAACGCCGCGUGAGUGAAGAAGGAUUUCGGUUCGUAAAGCUCUGUUGUUAGGGAAGAAUGAUUGUGUAGUAACUAUACACAGUAGAGACGGUACCUAACCAGAAAGCCACGGCUAACUACGUG
rnacentral:rRNA from 1 species